rnacentral:lncRNA from 1 species
CCGCUUCAAACACCGCCAUAAGUUCAAUUUUAGUAACCGAAAGGGAAAGGACCAAAGACCAAUAUUUUAUUUUUCCAAAAUACUAUAAGGUGCGGAAAACACAUGUCCUCUAUUCGAGAAAUUAGCUUUCAUAGUAGAGUCAUGUCAGCACGUAAACUAAUUCCCUAUUUCCAAGCACACCCGAUAAAAAUACCAACUAAGUACCCAUUGCUGCAAACACUCCAUAAACCAAAUGUUUCAAGAAGAAUGAGUAAGUGGGUUUAAGAAUUAAGUGAAUUCAACAUAACCUUCAUACCUUCAAAAACAAUAAAAGCCCAAGUCCUAGCCGAUUUCUUAGUAGAACUAACUCCAAGUAAUCGAGACGAAGAAAUAGGAUUCUGGAAAAAUUUUGUAGACGGAUCGUCAGAAGAAAAAAA